GAAUAUCAACAAGUUGUGCAAUAAAUACAAAAUUAUUUUGAACCAUUUUUGAGUGCGGUAUCAUAUGUUAAAAUUCUGAAAGGUUUGCCAGCAAUGUUCAGUUCAGCUAUGUUCUGUUUUGUUUGAAACCUGGCAUUGAACAGUUACGAAAAAAUAUUUCACUCAAUCAAAUUAUACAGUAGGGAUUGAAAUAAAUUUUCUUCAAUGCAAAGAACAGGUUGUGAUUCAGUGAAAUAUUCUUUAACUGUUACAUAGAUGGACAUACUUAGCAAUGACACUUUUUAAGUAACUAGAAGACCUACCAACAUGCAUAUCAUCAGAGCUACCAAAUCACUUUUUAGAUCUCACUAAACAUACCCCAACAAACUAUCUUCUUUAAAGUCAUUGCACGGGGGUUGUAGAGACUACUAAUGAAAGGAACCUUGCUAUUUGUAAAAUUACUGCAAAAUGCUGCAUGUUUUCUGAACUGAGGCACUGUAGUGUCAGAUAUUCAGGAUCCUUUUUUCUCUCGCAUAAUAUCAUACAUUGGGCCAAAUUUUAGCAAGGCAAAAUGUGAGCAAUGUUUGAGCAAAAUGAAUGUUCUAUAUGUAUAAAAUGAAACAUUUUACCUUAAUGCUUUCUGGUGAUUCCUAACAAUUUAGAACACAUAUUGCUGCAGUUUUACCUUGCUAACCAAGGGUAACUCUCUAUAAGUUUUUGAUAAUUCACAACCUAACCCAGGGGUAGGCUACUUUAUUUAAUCAAACUGGCACUGGGUUUCAAAUAUGUAAAUCCUCAAGAGGCUUCUAAAAUGUGCAGAUUAACCACCCCUGGUUUAAGAAUUAAGUGGUAAAUACCUUUUCUUUGUUGCGAUUAUUUUUUAAGAUUCUGGGAGCUUCGGCAGUCUGAAGCAUUAGAGGUAUGAAUGGAUACAUUCUAAUUUAUUUUUUACCAGAAAUACUCUUGAAAUCUAGUUUUAUUUUUCAGAACAGUGACAAAAAAUUAACCUUGUAUUGAAUAUAUUUAAAAACGUUUGUCAUGUCUUAAAUAUUUUGUAAUAUUUGUGUUAUGUACCCAGAAUAUGCAUGACUUAUUUGAAUGCGAAGCUCGUGUGCUUAAUUAAGGGAAAAAAAAAUAUUUAAAAAAUCUUACAUUACUUAUAUUUCUAUCUGUUAUGGAACUCUGAUGUUUACAGUAAUGCCAGACAUGUAGGAUUACAUUAACAACAAAAAUAUAACAAAACAAAAAAACAAAGUGCUUUUGUAAAGAAAAAAAAAUUAUGCUAUGCGUAAAUUAUUUUCCAGACUAAAUUAUUUUGCCGCACAGGAUUAUGUGCACAGUAUAACCUCAUUGCUCCUUGGCAUCCAUAUGGGCUUGAAAUGCAAUUCUCUGCUAAGCACUGACAGUCCUUAUGGUGAUCAUAGAGAGUUAUAAAGCACAAUUCUCCUCGGAAUUAUUUAUGGUUUGUUGUUGUAUUUUUUGGGAGAGUACCUAAGAUUUGGGAUUCAUGAUUUACACUAGUUCAGGAAUAAUUAACCAACAAUGCCUUAGUGGAUGGUUUUUGAUGUCCGUUGUCACUUUACAACCCUACUUAGGAGCACUGCUGGGUCAGCCCUUCUGAAGCUUCCUAUGUACUAUUUGAAGGAUCAAAUCUGCUCAUGAAGAAGUUCUGUCCUGUAAGUCAGGUGUGCACAUACUCUGUGGAAACGCAACCCACUGCAUCCAAACAUUCACUGAAUGGGAAUAUUACGAGCUUAAAUCAAACAAGAGCUAUAGCUAGGCACCCAUCGCUACCUAGACAUUCAGGAAAUUACAGAAUAGUGUCCUAGGCAGGGCUGCCAGAUCCACCAUGUUUUCAUAGAUACUUCUUGCUGAUGGGCAGCUAAUAACAUGUAAUAAGUAUGAUACUGAUGUAGCAUAAAAUAAACCAAUUCAUUGAUUAAAAUGGUUUAUUCAGGAUCCUGAUUUUAUUCAUUCAUAAAUGUCCCUCGUGCAGAAUAUGAAUUCUUGCAGGCUUAUUCACGAACAUGAUUAUUUACUGAAGUGAGACUUCAAAGUGAAUUUCAAAUAUAAGUUCAAAAUAGAGAAAAGGUAGAAAUUCUGUCAGCUAUGCUUUCAGUCCAACUGUUCUGGCCUAUUUUAGCCUUGUUUUCUUCAUCCAGUUUCAAUUCAGUAAAUUGGUGUUUAGCCAGUAAUCCUGAAAGUGAAUUUUGGGCUAUCAUUGUCAACCUGAAAAGAUUGUUGACUUGGGUAUUUUUCCCAAUUCAAUUAUCUUGACCUAAAAUGUGAAAUCCACUAACUACUAUAGUUAUUUACAAAUGUGUGCAUUGCCAGGAAUUGAAUUCUAAAAUUGGAAAAUGUCAAAAUUGCUGCCAAAAUAGUGAAAUUGAAAUUAAAACUGACUUGAAUUUUUUUUUUUUUUUAAAUUGUCUGAUAAUUGGCAUGAAUCUGAUAUGUGUGCUCAAGCAUGGAGAUGGUAACUCAAGCCAGCAUUGCUUGUCAGCAUUAGUACUGCCCAAUCCUACUUGAACAUUGGAGGUCAGUGGUUCCUGAACUAGCAGGUCGCCCCAGUUUAGGUAAAUAUGAAAAUGGCUCUAUUUGAAGGAGGGGAUUUUUGCUUUAUGGAUUUUGUCCACUUUCCACAGGAGCCUUUUUUUAAAUGGAGUGUACAUAACACUGCAUGCAGAGUGUUGUUGUUAUGCAAUGACUUGUUAAAUGUUUGAUACUAAUGUUUUGCUACGAUGUGAAGGCUGCAGACUUAUGUCACAACUGCAUCCUACAGACUUUUGUAUUUCAGUAUUAACUACCCUGUGUACUUUUUUGUCUGCUUUGUUAAAAUAUUUAUAAACAUGAAG